CGCCUUGCCAGCCCGCUACAGAAACUUAAAGGAAUUGACGGGGGCCCGCACAAGCGGAGGAGCAUGUGGUUUAAUUCGAUGAUACGCGAGGAACCUUACCUGGGCUCGAACGUAAGAUGACUGUAGGUGAAAGCUUACAUCUCUUCGGAGCAUUUUACGAGGUGCUGCAUGGUUGUCGUCAGCUCGUGCCGUGAGGUGUCGGGUUAAGUCCCAUAACGAGCGCAACCCCUACCUUUAGUUGCCAUCAGGUUAAGCUGGGGACUCUAAAGGAACUGCCUACGCAAGUAGUGAGGAAGGCGGGGAUGACGUCAAAUCAGCACGGCCCUUACGUCCAGGGCUACACACGUGCUACAAUGGCCGAUACAGAGGGCAGCUACCUGGUGACAGGAUGCAAAUCUCCAAAGUCGGUCUCAGUUCGGAUCGGAGUCUGCAACCCGACUCCGUGAAGUUGGAUUCGCUAGUAAUCGCGCAUCAGCCAUGGCGCGGUGAAUACGUUCCCGGGCCUU
rnacentral:rRNA from 1 species